AGUGAGACUAGAGUCACAUCCUGAUACUGACCGUUGUCCUGGUGUGCUAUAGCUCUCGCAGAUUAAUCGCUCUCUGCUAAUUCAUUGGCUGCUGCUUCUCCAUCGCUCAGCCAAUCACCCGCUCAGAGACACUC
ensembl:snoRNA Small nucleolar RNA SNORA3/SNORA45 family